GCUCGGAACUUGUGCAAUCCCCACGGGUCGCGAAUCGCGUCAGGGCCGGAAGGCAGCAGCGCUAAGAGACACCUGGGAUGUGUGCAGGCCCUCCGGGUCGC
rnacentral:SRP_RNA from 1 species